GCUCAGUAACACGUCAAUAAUCUGCCCUUAGACUCGGCAUACCCUCGGGAAACUGAGGCUAACACCGAAUACGGGAUAAGUGCUGGAACGCACUAUCCUUGAAACGCAAGGUCUAAGGAUGAGUUGGCGGCGGAUUAGGUUGUUGGUGGGGUAAAGGCCCACCAAGCCUAAGAUCCGUAGGGGCCUUGAGAGAGGUAGCCCCGAGAAGGACACUGAGAUACUGGUCCUAGCCCUACGGGGUGUAGUAGGCGUGGAACCUUUAUAAUGCGCGUAAGCGUGAUAAGGGAAUCCUGAGUGCUUAUGCUUAGCAUAGGCUUUUGCCAAGAGUAAAUAUCUUGGCGAAUAAGUGGUGGGUAAGACUGGUGUUAGUAGUUGCGGUAAUACCAGCGCCACGAGUGGCAAUAAUUAUUAUUGGGUUUAAAGCGUUCGUAGCCUGUUUAGUAAGUCUUUUGUGAAAUUGUUGUUUUUAAUGUAAUAGUGUGCAAAAGAUACUGCUAAACUUGGAACUGGAAGGGGCGUGGAGUAUGCAGGGGGGAGCGGUAAAAUGCUAUAAUCCCUUGUAGACUACUGGUGGUGAAGGUGCCACGCUAGUACAGAUUCGACGGUGAGGAACGAAAGCCAGGGGAGUAAAUCGGAUUAGAUAUCCGAGUAGUCCUGGCUGUAAAUGUUGUGAGUAAGAUGUUGCAUAUUCUUUGUGAAUGUGCAGUGUUGAAGAGAAGUUGUUAAGCUCAUUAUUUGGGAAGUAUGGUCGUAAGGCUGAAACUUAAAGGAAUUGGCGGGGGAGCAUUAUAAGGGGUGCGGCGUGCGGUUUAAUUUAAUUUAAUAUAGAGAAUUUUAUUAGUAGCGAUGGUAUAAUGAAGAUUAGUUUAAAGGGUUUAUUUGAGGAGCUGAGAGGUAGUGUAUGGCCGCCGUUAGCUCGUGUUGUAAGGUGUUUUGUUAAGUUAGGUAAUGAGCAAGACCUGUAUCCACAGUUGUUAAUGAUUUUUUUUGGAGAAUCGAGUACACUGUGGGGACUGCCUUCGAAAGAAGGAGGAAGGUGCAGGCUACGGUAGGUCUGUAUGUUCCGAAUUCGCUGGGCUACACGCGUGCAACAAUGGUAAGGAUAAAAGGAUGUAACUCUGGAAGGAGGAGUUAAACCCUAAAACCUUAUCUUAGUUUAGAUUGAGGAUUGUAAUUUAUCCUCAUGAUAUUGGAAUCCCUAGUAAUCAGAUGUUAUUAGUGUCUGGUGAAUAUGUUUUUGCUCCUUGUAUAUAUUGUCCGUCAAACCAUUUGAGUAGAGUUUGGGUGAGGCUUAGUUUUUAAUUAAGUCGAAUCUAAACUCAGUGAGAUGGGUUAAGUUGUUAUAAGGUC
rnacentral:rRNA from 1 species